rnacentral:tRNA from 1 species
GCGGGCAUAGCUCAAAUGGUAGAGUAGUGCGUUGCCAUCGCUCAGAUGAGGGUUCGAUUCCCUCUGUUCGCU